CGGGGCGUAGCGCAGCCUGGUCAGCGCGCCAGUUUUGGGUACUGGAGGCCCCCGGUUCGAAUCCGGGCGCCCCGACCA
rnacentral:tRNA from 1 species